UUAUGUGAGCCCUAAUUUUGGAAGUUUCAAUAGAUUCGCUUCUCCGCUUCAUUUCUGGAUAACCAUGCUCCUCGCUUCAUCACUGUCCCAAGAUGUCUUCAUUGUUCCUCCCUCUGUCUCUUGUUCCAUCAGGUAAGUUUUCGGACCAUCUCAUCUACUCAUUUUUUACUAUCUUUAUUCUCGCUCUCUAUUUUUCUCGAUUUCUUCUUUCUUCUCUAUUCUCCCUUUUCUGUUGAAUGUUGUUGGCAGUUAGAAUCCAUGGGAACAACAGAGGAGAGUUGGAUGGUAGUGGUACACCACCACAUUUAGGUGUAGGUUUAGGUUAGGGAGGGAUACCAACACCGACAACCCUCAUCCUAUACCGAAGCCCUCAUGAAAUCGACUCAAUGUACAUCACCAUGCUUAGAACCACAGAAUUCUUGGGUAAAACAACAUCGUCGAGUCUCAUCCGAUUCUUCUUUGGGGCACGAAAUCUCUCUUCCUUUAAGCUUCUUAUGGUUCAUCAGGUUCAAUAUUUUACAUUUCACCUGCUGAAUAUUAAGGUAAUCUCUUUUCUUCCUCUUUUGAUAUGUAAAAAUAAUGAUGAUUCUUUAUCUAAUUUAGUAUUAAAUCAUCAUUUUUUGAAUCCUUACCGAAUUUUAUUUUUAUUUUCUUGUUUUUAAUUUGAUAUGGGUGACGCCCAUAUUGGAGAUACAACCACUGGUAUUCUCAGGCUAUUCUUGUUUUUUCAUCUGAAAUUAAGAAUUAUAAAAAAAUUAUUCUUAUUACUCUGAAGCAGUAGUCGAUAUAGGUUGAAACAUAUGAAAUUGAAACAACAAUCAAUGUAGAAGCAGAACAUUCCAGACCACCGGCAGUUAACAAUAAACAACAAUCUUCAUCAGAUACCAGCCGUCUACAUAGCUACGCUAAUUCCUCCAUCCUACCUGGCCCACUAAUUUUAUAUCAGGCCAUUCAAAUUGGGUAGGAUGCUACUCAUAUGUAAUACCAAUGUACAGCUCCUCUCAUGUUAGUAUUGAAAGGGUAAAAUGGUCAUCAGGCUGUUAGUAGGAAGAUGAAAACAGGCUGCACUUUUUAUCAAGAGAUCACAUGCCAUUAUUCAACUUGUUAUCAAGAGAUCUGUUGAUCGAAGUGAAUCUAAACCUCCAUGAGUUGUUGGCAAACUCUCUUUCCUAGAUCUUGCUGGAAGUGAACGUGGUAAUAAAAAUUGCUAUUAAGUUAAUUUAUUUAAGAAGCUGGGCUGCAGAACCAGAGAUGGAAGAAAGGAAAGUGAAUGGAAGGUGCUGAGAUUAAUAAAAGCUUACUUGCUUUGAAGGAAUGCAUUAUGGAUAAGAUCUCUUGACAAUGAUCAGGGUCAUAUCCCUUUUUGAGGCAGUUAAUUAUAACUGAAGUUUUAAGAGAUUCAUUUUUUGGAAUCUUGAAGAUACUUCUGGUUUAGCCACUUCAUUAAUCAAAGAAAAUGGUGUGUGUCCACUUUCACUUGAUUGUCUUGUUGAUGGUAAUGAACAGGUAGUUGUCGCUGUAACAGAUACAAUCAUGGAUCUAGCAUGCUCUCAACAAGGGAUUGAAAUCAUAAUCCCAGCUAGACCCAAUGAAGCUACAGAUUAUAAUUGUGAAUGAAUCGAUGUCUUUCAUUAACACAGGAGGGGAUUAAAUACCCAAUGUACAGAGUGAUUACAGGAGGAAAUUGAGGAAAAUCUAGGCUAAAUAAGGAAGUAGUAAUCUACAUUAAUUACAUAGCAAAUAUAAGAUCGGAAAUAUACAGAAGGUGUAUAUUUUGGUUAAUACUCCCCCGCAGUCGAAUGGUUGGCUGGCCGAAUAGAGAGACUGGAACGGAAGCGGGUGAAUAGCUGACGAGGUAAUCCCUUGGUAAAUAUAUCUGCGUAUUGGUAAUCAGCAGGAACAUGAAGAACACGAAGGGAACCCAUGCGAACUUUUUCGCGAACGAAAUGGAUGUUGAUCUCAAUAUGCUUCGUGUGUUGGUGCUGAACCGGGUUUUGAGUAAGAUAUACGGCUGAAAUGUUGUCACAAUAUAUAAUCGUUGCCUGGCGAAGUGGAAGAUAUAGCUCGAGGAGUAAGUUGCGUAGCCAUGUAGUUUCAGCUGCGGCGUUGGCGACGCCUUUGUACUCGGCUUUGGCACUGGACCGGGAGAUAGUUGGUUGUCGUUUGGAUGACCAUGAAACGAGAUUAUCACCGAGAAAUACACAAUAGCCAGAUGUGGACCGUUGAGAGUCGGGACACCCCCCCCCCCCCCCCCCCCCCAAUCUGCGUCGAAGUAGGCAGGGAGUUUUGUAGAUUUGGAGGGAGAAAUAUGAAGUCCAUGAUGACGGGUGCCUUGGAGGUAUCGUAGAAUACGUUUCAGAAAGUUAAAAUGUGGAUCGCGAGGGGCAUGCAUGAAAAGGCAUACUUGUUGGACAGCAUACGCAAUGUCGAGGCGAGUGAAUGUCAAGUAUUGUAAGGCUCCAGCGAGGCUGCGAUACAGAGUCGAGUCUUGCAUUAGGUCGCCGACGGUUGCGUUGAGUUUAGAGUUAGUGUCGACAGGAGUGGCACAAGGUUUACAUUGUUGCAUGUUUGCCCGAUGAAGAAUAUCAUCCACAUAUUGUUCUUGGGUAAGAAAUAAUCCUCCAUUUUGAUGUUUCACUUGGACGCCGAGAAAUUGAUGAAGUGGCCCAAGGUCCGACAUAGCAAACUCUUUGGAUAAUAGAGUGAUGAAGUGUCGAAGAGUUGUGUCGUCAGAAGCGGUCAAGACGAUGUCAUCCACAUAGAGAAUAAGAUAUGCCAUUUGUGUGCCUUGUUGGAAGACGAAAAUAGAGGUAUCACUUUUGGUGCUUUUAAAACCACAUGUGUGAAUCAAUGUUGCAAAGCGAUGAAACCAAGCUCGCGGGGCUUGUUUCAGCCCAUACAAAGAUUUUCGUAACCAACAAACAUGUGUUGGAUGUUGCGGGUCCGUGAAACCAGAGGGUUGGAACGUAUACACGGUCUCGUUGAGAUUCCCAUGUAAGAAUGCAUUCUUUACAUCUAGUUGGUGUAUAGGCCACCAUCGGGAAACUGCAAGACUAAGAACAGUUCGUAUUGUGGUGGGUUUCACUACGGGACUGAAUGUUUCAUCACAGUCUACUCCGACUUGUUGGCAUCUUCCAUUAAUCACUAAGCAUGCUUUAUAUUGUGUAAGAGUCCCGUUUGAAAGAAAUUUGUGCCGGUAUAUCCACAUACAACAUAUGACAUGAGCCUCUGGGGGACGAGGUACAAGUUCCCAUGUGUUUUUAUCUAUUAGAGCUCUAUGCUUAUCGGUCAUGGCUGAGUACCAAUUUGGAUCAGAUAGGGCAUGUUUGUGGGAUUUAGGAAGGGGUGAAAUGGUGAGGUGUUGGAUUUGGUGUGAAGGUUGAGUGGUGGGCUUGGUUUGGUGAUUCCAGCUUUAGAGCGGGUGGUCAUGGGAUGACAGGAUGUAGGGGGUGGCGGAGGUGGAGGGGGUGGUUGGGUUCGCCGGGAGUAAGUAAAUGAGUAGUAUGAGGGUGGGGGAAGGGUAGGUUAGGACGAAGUGUAUGGGGUUUGGUUGGAAUGGGGAGGUGAAAAGGUGGUUUCGGUGGGAGCGAAAUGAGUGGGGGAAGGAGGGUUGUGAUUUAAAGGUGGUUGGAAGGUGGAAGAGGAGAGGAGAGGGUUUUGUUUCAAGGAAAGAGUAAUUGUGUGGUGGGUUUGGUGUGUGAGAUGCGUAAGGAAAAGAAGUUUCAUCAAAGGUUACAUGUCGGGAGAGAAUGAUUUUACCCGUGGACAUGUCGAAGCAUCUAUAUCCUCGCUAUUGGGCUGGGUAACCUAGAAAAAGACAAGGUGUGGACCGAGGUGCUAGUUUGUGUUGGCGGGUGGCUGGUAGGUUGGGAAAGCAGGCACACCAAAGAUUCGUAGGUGGUCAUAAGUUGGAUGUUUGAGGUAGAGAACAGAGGUAGGGGUUCGGUUGUCAAGUAAUGGAGUAGGAAGGAUGUUGUGUAAGUAGGUAGCGGUAUGAAGGGCCUCGACCCAAAAGGAAGGUGGUAAAGAAGCAUGGGUAAGUAAGGACAACAUGAUUUCGUUUAUGCGACGGAUCAUUCGUUCUGCUGUGCCAUUUUGUUGAAAGGUGUGCGGGCACGAGAAGCGAAUGUGAAGACCGGUGGUGGAAGCAAAAUUAUGGAAGUUAUGGUUGUCGAAUUCACCGCCCUUGUCACAUUGGAAUGUUUUGAGGGUAAUAUUGAAUUGAGUGUGGAUAUAUUUGUAGAAGGCUUUGAUUUUGGGAAAAGUUUCGGAUUUGUAUUUUAAGGGAAACACCCAUGUAAAAUGACUGAAAUCGUCAAUAAGGAUGAUGUAAUAUUUAAAACUAGUUUUGUUGUGGAUGGAUGAGGUCCAAAGGUCGGCGUGAACUAGAUCAAAUGGUUUGAGAGUGAAGGAUGUGGAGUUUUUGAAUGGUAGACGUUUGUGUUUAGCAAGUUGGCAAGAAUGACAAACGGGUAAACGAUCAUUUUUAUUGCAAGAAAUAUUUUUAUUUUGACUAAGAAAAUUUAUUACAUGAUGACCCGGAUGACUGAGUCUAAAAUGCCAAAGAGGCGAACUAGAAGAAACAUAAAAAGAUGAAGCUGGAGCGUUGGCUUGUUUGGUGAAGGGGUAGAGAUCGACGAAACUGUCGUGUCUAGAGAGGUGCCUCUUGGUCUUGUAAUCCUUUAUAGAAAACCAAAGGAGUCAAAUUCAACAGAAAAUGAAUUAUCACAACAAAAUUUACGAACAUAUAUAAGAUAUUUAACGGUAUGAGGUGUGUGGAGUAUAUCUUUUAGAUGAAUAGGUUUGGAUGGAUGGGGUAAUGUUGUAUGACCUGAUCCAAGAACCGGUACUUGAUUGCCAUUUGCAUCAAACACAGAUUUAAUAGAAGACAAACUAUGGACUGAGAUUUUACCUUCAUUGGCUGUGAGGUGAGAUGUGGAUCCAGUGUCCAUGUACCAAGCAUCAUGUUCUUGUUCCAGAUUCAUAGCUGAAAAGGCAGCCCCGUGUUCCGAAGGUUUAAGUGGGUUUACUGUUGUAAGAUUGGCUUCAUCUGGUGGUUGGCGUGGUUGCUGUUGGGCAGAAGAGGUAGGCCAGGGAGAAGCCCAUCCAGCUUGAGUAGGAUAUGGACAAGGUGGUGGUGAAGCCCAAUAUGGGUGGGCCCAGAAUGGUGGUGGGUAUCCGGCCCAUGUAGGGCGUGUUUGAUUGGACAUAGGGCUUCUGCGAUUAUUUGACUGGGUUUGUGUUGGCCGACCAGAAGUAGGGAUGCAAACGGGUCGGGGAUUCCCCGUGACCCGCGGGGACCCGACCCAAACGGAUCGGGGAUUCCCCGCUUUUAACGGGUAACGGAUCGGGGAUGGGGAUUAUAUAUCUUACCCGAAACGGGGUCGGGGCGGGGACGGAUAUAAUACUAUCCGCUCCAUUUUAGACCCGAUAUAUAUAUAUAUAUAUAUAUAUAUAUAUAUAUAUAUAUAUAUAUAUAUAUAUAUCAAAAUCAGUUUUUAAUUUUCAUUAAUGGCUAUUAAUUGUUUUCAAUUCACAACACAUAGACUAUUGAACCGUCAUGUGUCUCUUAGUAAUCUGUGAGCAUGUGACCUGUGAGAAAUCCAAUUGCAUCCACUGCAUUUCGAUUUCAAACUCGACACUUCUCCUGCAUUUAUUAAUGUCGAAGACUUUUCCUGCAUCUCGAUUCUCCAGUUCUACUUCUCUAGUAAAAUUCUUUGAUUCAAAACAUAAGAAAUCCGCUUCCAUACUCUACUUCUCAACUUCCCCUUGUUUUCCUUACCAAACUCAUUUUUUUUUCUUUUCUCCUUCAAGUAUGGCUGUGAAGGAUUCUCCUCUAUCGGAUAAGUAUGUUUCUUUUCCUUACCGAACUCGUUUUUCUUUUCUUUAAUAGGUUUCUUGUACUUGAUUUUCUAUAAUCGUUUUUUCAAUUUGGUUGAACCGGUUUUAAGUAAUCGUUUUUUGAAAUAUGUUUUCUUUACUCGAUUUUAUGUACUUGGUUUUGCAAUAUCGAUUUCCUUUACUUAACUCAACACGUUCUUUGCAAUAAUCGAUCCAUUUUUGUGGUUUAACGGAAUCAGUAGAAUUAAUGGCUUGCUCCUAGAUGUAUAAAAUAAGAAAAUACUUGGACAUUAUUUUUAUUUUUAUUGAAUCGAUCCAGUUAGGAGUAAUAGAAAUAUUGAAGGCAUUGUUUUCUAAGAGCCACUGAUAACUGGUAUAUAUUUAGUGUUGUGCAAAAAUAUGAAUUUUUUCGUUUGCUAUUUGCUGUUAUAUAAUAUUUUGAAUAUGUAUUCCAUUAACUUUUUAAUCCAUAUCCUCUGGACUCUCGAGGGUUGUUUAAUAUAAGAAAAAUACGUGCACAUUGAUAUUUACUAUUCGUUCUUUUACAACC